rnacentral:rRNA from 1 species
GAGUUUGAUCAUGGCUCAGAAUCAACGCUGGCGGCGUGCCUCAGACAUGCAAGUCGAACGAUUAAAGCUCUCUUCGGAGAGUGCAUAGAGUGGCGCACGGGUGAGUAACACGUAAAUAAUCUACCCUCGAGUGGGGAAUAACAUCGGGAAACCGAUGCUAAUACCGCAUAAUGCAGCGGCACCGCAAGGUGACAGUUGUUAAAGAUUUAUUGCUUGAGGAGGAGUUUGCGGCAGAUUAGCUAGUUGGUAAGGUAAUGGCUUACCAAGGCUACGAUCUGUAUCCGGUCUAAGAGGACGGUCGGACACACUGACACUGAAUAACGGGUCAGACUCCUACGGGAGGCAGCAGUCGGGAAUUUUGGGCAAUGGGGGAAACCCUGACCCAGCAACGCCGCGUGAAGGAUGAAGUUUUUCGGAAUGUAAACUUCGAAAGAAUAGGAAGAAUUAAUGACGGUACUAUUUAUAAGGUCCGGCUAACUACGUGCCAGCAGCCGCGGUAAUACGUAGGGACCAAGCGUUGUUCGGAUUUACUGGGCGUAAAGGGCGCGUAGGCGGCGUGGUAAGUCAGUUGUGAAAUCUCCGAGCUUAACUCGGAACGGCCAACUGAUACUGCUGUGCUAGAGUGCAGAAGGGGCAAUCAGAAUUCUUGGUGUAGCGGUGAAAUGCGUAGAUAUCAAGAGGAAUACCUGAGGUGAAGACGGGUUGCUAGGCUGACACUGACGCUGAGGCGCGAAAGCCAGGGGAGCAAACGGGAUUAGAUACCCCGGUAGUCCUGGCCCUAAACGAUGAAUACUUGGUGUCUGGAGUUUUAAUGCUCCGGGUGCCGUCGCUAACGUUUUUAGUAUUCCGCCUGGGGAGUACGGUCGCAAGACUGAAACUCAAAGGAAUUGACGGGGACCCGCACAAGCGGUGGAGCAUGUGGUUUAAUUCGACGCAACGCGAAGAACCUUACCUGGACUAGAAUGUGAGGGAAGGGCGCUUAAUGGCGUCCGUCCGGGCAACCGGACCCAAAACAAGGUGCUGCAUGGCU